GACGAACGCUGGCGGCGUGCUUAACACAUGCAAGUCGAGCGGUAAGGCCCUUUCGGGGGUACACGAGCGGCGAACGGGUGAGUAACACGUGGGUGACCUGCCCUCAGCUCUGGGAUAAGCCUGGGAAACUGGGUCUAAUACCGGAUAUGACUCCAUGACGCAUGUUGUGGGGUGGAAAGCCUUGUGCGGCUGAGGAUGGGCCCGCGGCCUAUCAGCUUGUUGGUGGGGUGAGGCCUACCAAGGCGACGACGGGUAGCCGGCCUGAGAGGGCGACCGGCCACACUGGGACUGAGACACGGCCCAGACUCCUACGGGAGGCAGCAGUGGGGAAUCUUGCGCAAUGGGCGAAAGCCUGACGCAGCGACGCCGCGUGAGGGAUGACGGCCUGGUGU
rnacentral:rRNA from 1 species